UGACAGGCGUGCAGGUGGCUCCUCCCACUGCACGUGGGCGUCCACAUCCACACAUGGAUGCUGGGCCUGUGGGCACGUGGGGCAGAUGGCACUGGCAGAUAGCCCUGGAUUCGCCCAUUUAUUCAUUUCUUCCCCUCACAGAACGUUCACGGAGAUGUGCCAAGCCCUCCGUCGCGGUCCCCCAGGCUCCUACAGCCUGGGUGAUGGUCAAGAGACUAGACAUCACAGGGUGAAGUGGAUUAGGGUCCUGGGCGUGGUGCAGCCGGUGAGGUCCCGAGGGCAGCCCCUAGCCCAUUUGAACUGGCGUCGGGAGCAGGGAAUCCCAGGAAAUCCAUGCCUGGCGAGGGCUUAGGUGAGCGGGAGACCGCCGGGCGAAGGGGGCCGAGGCUCCUCAGAUCAGAGCUCAGAGGAGGAGCCGGAGAGGAGAGCUGGGGCCCUCGGCGAAGGGUCUCGAACCCAGGCCACAGAGCCCGGACUCUGUGCUCCAGGCAGUGGGGAGCCAUGCAAGGUGUUCAGCGGGGGCGCUACGGCCAAAUUCUGGAGCCUAUGAUACCGACGCGUUUGCACGAAAGCUUUGGACCUGAGGGUGUCUCGCCUUCUUUUGGGGCUGGGCCGGGGCUGUGAUCUGCACCUGGGUACCGCUUCUUGUUGCUGUAGCAGCUGCCCCUGGGAAUGUCUGAGAGGGGGAUAGGCACCCCAGUCCCCAGAGAGAAGCCCGUGUCCAGGCUAGAUAUGAAUGAAGAAACAGAAGCCGCUGUUAAGUCAGGCAUCCCUGUGUGUGCAGCAGAUAGAUGCCUUUUCUGCACUUGGUAGGCUCCGAGGUGGCGGAGACGGUGUGGCCUCUUCCAGAAUAUCACUCCCUGUGCCCACUGGGUACCCCAAAGUACCCUCCCACUGGAGAGCCAGUGCCUCUCUGAGGGGUGGGAACUAGAUUACAUGAGUUUUGACAGGUGGUGAAUACAGUGGGGGUUCUAGAACACAGAUAAAAGAGCGAUUCAGUUAAGAGGCUGGGGAGGGGGCGGACAGUGGGGAGGGAACCUGGCAGCUGAAAGGGAGGGGAGCAGCACAAAGACCCCAAGGAGGGGGUGGCAGGUGGUGCUGGAGAGAAAACGUUGGCGCUCCUCAGUUCUGCUCAGGAGCCUAGCUGAAGGCCAUGACUUUGGCAAUGGCUCGCUCUCCACCAGCCUGGCCCCCAGCCUGGCCCCCGGCCUGGCCCCCGGCCUGCGGUUUUCCUCAGUAGAGAAGCAGUGGCAGCUUCCGAGAAACCCCACCAAGACUUUCCUGUCAGGGCAACUCCAAGUUCCUCUUACUGAGGAAGGGGAAGUGGUGGAGUUUCUCCUGAGGGCUUUCAGUUUCUUUCUAAGAAGCUGGAGUGACCCAACCCGAGGGCCCUUGGCCGAGCCAGAUGUUAAAGGGAGAGACCUUUUGUCUUCAGGGGCUUUCCCACCUCAGUUCCAACCAAAGCGUCUUUGUUGGGGCCUGGUAUCAGAAGUUCCAGAAGAGGAAAGCAAGGACGUGUGUUUUGCAGGCCCUUUCCCACGGCCCCUCCUUUCUUCCUCUCCAGGGACGCAACCCCAAGCCCUGUCCUGGCUCCCCCUGACAGGCACAAAUGCGGCCUGCCUUCCCUCAGGGACACCAGGGUAGGAAACUUAUUUCCUCAACCCUCAAAGCCAACCUCAGCUCUGAGUCCUGCUUCCUCAGGGCUCUGCUGGGCAACUGAAAAAGCUAACGGACACGAAGAACUGACAGACAACUUCAGCUCAACGCUGAUUUCUGGCCCAGGGGACGUGCCCACUUUGGAGGCCCACAGCUUCGCGAGGACACACUGUGGGAGCCCAGAGAACUGAGUGCAGCCUUCUCAGGAAGACCCACUGGCUUGGGGGUGAGUGACCCCGCGACGAAGGUACAGUCAUGAUCCCUGAAAACAAGCCACCCGCCCAGCUCACAGCCCAUGAGCCCCGUCUUCCCCGUAGACCUCUUCUCAGAAAGGCGGGGAAGGAAGACUGACCCUCAGAGGAGUUGGCUGGAAAGGUCCAACCGCCCAUAUCCCGAAGAUACUCACAGCAGCGUGUGCCUCUCUGAGAGGCGAAGAACAAGCUGUUGAAUGAAAGCCACGUUCCCAGCGCUGGCCUGGCUGGGGCUGUCCCCAGGGUGGUAGGAACUCCCCGGCCCUCUUUUAUUUUCCUCUCACGGGCAUCGUUCUUUGCCAGCACGUGCGUUAUGGGGACAGUGGGGGGACUCCCCCAGACCGUGAUGCUGUUCCAUUCAAAAACAUCUGCCUGGAGGUCCGCUGCUGCGUGACUCACACGCUGUGGAGGUGGCAGGGAGACGCACAGCUGCCGGUCGGAAGGGCCUGACCCAAACGAGAGAGGAUGCUCAGAGGGUGGCCAGGUUUAGUAAAUAAAAAUACAGGAUGCCCAGAUACAUUCGAUUUUCAGAUAAACAACAACAUUUGGGAUAUCCUUCACUAAAAAAAAAAAUGUUGUUUAUAUGAAAUUCGAGUGUAACUGGGCAUCCUGUUUUGUAUCUGGCAAGCUUAGACACGCAGCACCUGGGGCAAAGCCCCUGCCUUCCCCAGGGUCCCAGCGGGGGUUUGUUGAGAGCGCGAGACAACACAGCUGGGAGAAAACCACUCGCCUGGGAUGAAAGCAAACCCCGGACUUGGUCAGAGAAGGGUGGAAACACUCUGCUUCAAGGGUUCCUCCUGAGUAAUUGCAAAAGCCCGAUCUCAACCUAGGGCAGAGUUCUGCGUUCAAAUUCCACAAAAAUGCGUGGGUGCUUCUGAAGGAGACUCUCCUUUCUCUGGCCUCCAGUUUGAUCAUCUCUGUAAUGCGGGGAGAUUUGGAUUCUAUGAUGGCUGAGGACUUCCUAGCCCUUGGUUUUUCCAGCCCAGGGGAAAUCUGCUGGAAGCAAGAGAAGGUGCAAGCUCACCAAGGAGCAAGUUUAACGAGGAGGAAGAAGCCAACUGUGCUGGGAAAAGUGUGGCCGUCUCACCCUACAGCUCCGAAAGGGGACUGGGGCAUUGCAACUGGACAUUGGGUGCUUGGGGGGGGGCUCCUCUUGGGUCAGGCACACCCGGUGCACCUCGGACCUCCUUGGAAGGGGCCCCAGGGACCAACCACAGCUGUGUCCAUCUCUGCGGUGCCCGGGACCAGCCACCUUUUCAAACAUCCAUGGAAACACUUGAGCCACAGUGGGGAUUGUUCCUACCUCCAAAAUUAGAAAAGCAUAUUAUAAAGAUGAAAUGAUUAAAUGUCUACAAAAUGUUAACCAGA